UCGCGGCCUAUCAGCUUGUUGGUGGGGUAAUGGCCUACCAAGGCGACGACGGGUAGCCGGCCUGAGAGGGCGACCGGCCACACUGGAACUGAGACACGGUCCAGACUCCUACGGGAGGCAGCAGUGGGGAAUAUUGCACAAUGGGCGAAAGCCUGAUGCAGCGACGCCGCGUGAGGGACGACGGCCUUCGGGUUGUAAACCUCUUUCAGCAGGGACGAAGCGAAAGUGACUGUACCUGCAGAAGAAGCACCGGCUAACUACGUGCCAGCAGCCGCGGUAAUACGUAGGGUGCAAGCGUUGUCCGGAUUUAUUGGGCGUAAAGAGCUCGUAGGCGGUUUGUCGCGUCGGAUGUGAAAACCUAUGGCUUAACCAUGGGCCUGCAUUCGAUACGGGCAAACUAGAGUUCGGUAGGGGGGACUGGAACUCCUGGUGUAGCGGUGAAAUGCGCAGAUAUCAGGAAGAACACCGGUGGCGAAGGCGGGUCUCUGGGCCGAUACUGACGCUGAGGAGCGAAAGCGUGGGGAGCAAACAGGAUUAGAUACCCUGGUAGUCCACGCCGUAAACGUUGGGCGCUAGGUGUGGGGAACCUUCCACGUUCUCCGUGCCGUAGCUAACGCAUUAAGCGCCCCGCCUGGGGAGUACGG
rnacentral:rRNA from 1 species